rnacentral:rRNA from 1 species
GACGAACGCUGGCGGCGUGCCUAAUACAUGCAAGUUGAGCGAUGAAGAUUGGUGCUUGCACCAAUUUGAAGAGCAGCGAACGGGUGAGUAACGCGUGGGGAAUCUGCCUUUGAGCGGGGGACAACAUUUGGAAACGAAUGCUAAUACCGCAUAACAACUUUAAACAUAAGUUUUAAGUUUGAAAGAUGCAAUUGCAUCACUCAAAGAUGAUCCCGCGUUGUAUUAGCUAGUUGGUGAGGUAAAGGCUCACCAAGGCGAUGAUACAUAGCCGACCUGAGAGGGUGAUCGGCCACAUUGGGACUGAGACACGGCCUAAACUCCUACGGGAGGCAGCAGUAGGGAAUCUUCGGCAAUAGACGAAAGUCUGACCGAGCAACGCCGCGUGAGUGAAGAAGGUUUUCGGAUCGUAAAACUCUGUUGGUAGAGAAGAACGUUGGUGAGAGUGGAAAGCUCAUCAAGUGACGGUAACUACCCAGAAAGGGACGGCUAACUACGUG